rnacentral:lncRNA from 1 species
UUUUUUUUACAUUAAAAGGCAGUUAAUGCUACUAGGGUAGUUUUUCAUGUGAAAAGUUAUUAUUUACCCUUGAAAAAGGUAACUCCUCCUUAACUAUUGAGUUUGUCGAUUGAUUUGGUUAGUGAUUUUGAAAUUCGAAAUUAAAAUAGAGCCUACAUCCUUUUACCCUAGUUUUAUUGUGCCCACAUCCUUUUACCCGAUAAACGCCGUAGAAGUGCGAGGAAGACGAAGGCCACAGUAGACGACGACGGCGGGAGCGAAUUACAUCAGAGAAGCUCAAGGAAGACGACGAACUCGACGGCGACGGAAGCCAACAAACGGCCGAUUGCUGCCCAGAAACAAGCCGCGGAGGGUAAGCAAGUAAAAAUGUGGUGUUUUCUUUUUUGGAUCGGUGGAUUCAAGUAAAAGUGUGGUGUUUUCUUUUUCAAUGAAACUGUUAAUUUGCUUUUGUAUAACCUUCUCAAUCGCAUGUAUGGAUUCAAUGGAAUGUUUUGUUAUUUUUUAGGAAUUGAAGGAC